rnacentral:rRNA from 1 species
AUUGAACGCUGGCGGCAGGCUUAACGCAUGCAAGUCGAGCGGAGAGAGGUAGCUUGCUACUGAUCUUAGCGGCGGACGGGUGAGUAAUGCUUAGGAAUCUGCCUAUUAGUGGGGGACAACAUUUCGAAAGGAAUGCUAAUACCGCAUACGUCCUACGGGAGAAAGCAAGGGAUCUUCGGACCUUGCGCUAAUAGAUGAGCCUAAGUCGGAUUAGCUAGUUGGUGGGGUAAAGGCCUACCAAGGCGACGAGCUGUAGCGGGUCUGAGAGGAUGAUCCGCCACACUGGGACUGAGACACGGCCCAGACUCCUACGGGAGGCAGCAGUGGGGAAUAUUGGACAAUGGGCGCAAGCCUGAUCCAGCCAUGCCGCGUGUGUGAAGAAGGCCUUAUGGUUGUAAAGCACUUUAAGCGAGGAGGAGGCUACUUUAGUUAAUACCUAGAGAUAGUGGACGUUACUCGCAGAAUAAGCACCGGCUAACUCUGUGCCAGCAGCCGCAGUAA